CCUCCCCCAGGGGUGGGGUCUUCGGCCAAGAUGGCGGCCUACCUGCAGUGGCGGCGUUUCGUAUUCUUCGACAAAGAGCUGGUGAAGGAGCCGCUGGGCAGUGAUGGGGCGACUCCCGGGGCCGCACCUGUGUCUGGCCUCGCUACUUCCAAGUUCCUUUGCCUCCCUCCUGGCAUCACUGUCUGUGACUCAGGCCGAGGGAGCCUAGUCUUUGGAGAUAUGGAAGGCCAGAUCUGGUUCCUGCCCCGCUCCCUACAGCUUACAUUCUUCCAGGCUUACAAACUACGGGUGACACACCUGUACCAGCUGAAGCAGCACAAUAUUCUGGCAUCUGUUGGUGAGGAUGAAGAGGGCAUCAACCCCCUGGUAAAGAUCUGGAACUUGGAGAAGAGAGAUGGUGGCAAUCCACUCUGCACUCGGAUCUUCCCUGCCAUACCAGGAACAGAGCCAACUGUUGUGUCUUGUUUGACUGUCCACGAAAAUCUCAAUUUUAUGGCCAUUGGUUUCACCGAUGGCAGUGUUACACUGAACAAAGGAGAUAUCACCCGGGACCGGCACAGCAAGACACAGAUUUUGCACAAGGGCAACUAUCCUGUUACUGGACUGGCCUUUCGCCAAGCAGGAAAGACAACUCACUUGUUUGUUGUGACAACUGAGAAUGUUCAGUCCUACAUAGUUUCUGGAAAGGACUACCCUCGUGUGGAGUUGGACACCCAUGGUUGUGGCCUGCACUGUUCAGCCCUCAGCGACCCUUCUCAGGACCUGCAGUUCAUAGUGGCUGGGGAUGAGUGUGUCUACUUGUACCAGCCUGAUGAACGUGGACCCUGUUUUGCGUUUGAGGGCCAUAAACUCAUUGCCCACUGGUUUAGAGGCUACCUUGUCGUUGUCUCUCGUGACCGGAAGGUUUCCCCCAAGUCAGAGUUCACCAGCAGGGACUCACAGAGCUCCGACAAGCAGAUUCUCAACAUUUAUGACCUGUGCAACAAGUUCAUAGCUUAUAGCGCCGUCUUUGAGGACGUAGUGGAUGUGCUUGCUGAGUGGGGCUCCCUGUACGUGCUGACGCGGGAUGGGCGGGUCCACGCACUGCAGGAGAAGGACACCCAGACCAAACUGGAGAUGUUGUUUAAGAAGAAUCUAUUUGAAAUGGCGAUUAACCUGGCCAAGAGCCAGCACCUGGACAGUGAUGGGCUGGCCCAGAUCUUCAUGCAGUAUGGGGACCAUCUCUACAGCAAGGGCAAUCAUGACGGAGCUGUCCAGCAGUAUAUCCGAACCAUUGGAAAGUUGGAGCCGUCCUAUGUGAUCCGCAAGUUCCUGGAUGCCCAGCGCAUCCACAACCUGACUGCCUAUCUUCAGACCCUGCACCGGCAAUCUCUGGCCAACGCUGACCACACCACCCUGCUGCUCAACUGCUAUACCAAGCUCAAGGACAGCUCGAAGCUGGAGGAGUUCAUCAAGACAAAGAGUGAAAGUGAAGUCCACUUUGAUGUGGAAACAGCCAUCAAGGUGCUCCGGCAGGCUGGCUACUACUCCCAUGCCCUCUAUUUGGCUGAGAACCAUGCACAUCAUGAGUGGUACUUGAAGAUCCAGCUAGAGGACAUCAAGAAUUAUCAGGAAGCUCUUCAGUACAUCGGCAAGCUGCCUUUUGAGCAGGCAGAGAGCAACAUGAAACGCUAUGGCAAGAUCCUCAUGCACCAUAUACCAGAGCAGACAACCCAGUUGCUGAAGGGACUUUGUACUGACUAUCAGCCUAGCCUCGAAGGCCAAGGCGAUAGGGAGUCUCCAGGCUGCAGGGCCAACUCAGAGGAGUUCAUCCCCAUCUUUGCCAACAACCCACGAGAGCUGAAAGCUUUCCUAGAGCACAUGAGUGAAGUGCAGCCAGACUCACCGCAGGGCAUCUAUGACACGCUCCUAGAGCUACGACUGCAGAACUGGGCCCAUGAGAGGGACCCACACGUCAAAGAGAAGCUUCACGCAGAGGCCAUCUCCCUGCUGAAGAGUGGCCGCUUUUGCGAUGUCUUUGACAAGGCCCUUGUCCUCUGCCAGAUGCAUGACUUCCAGGAUGGAGUCCUGUACCUCUAUGAACAGGGGAAGCUGUUCCAGCAGAUCAUGCAUUACCACAUGCAGCACGAGCAGUACCCGCAGGUGGUCGCCGUCUGUGAGCGCCAUGGGGAGCAGGAGCCCUCCCUGUGGGAACAGGCACUCAGCUACUUUGCCCGCAAGGAGGAGGACUGCAAGGAGUACGUCGCGGCUGUGCUUAAGCACAUUGAGAGCAAGAACCUCAUGCCACCCCUUCUAGGACCCCGAUCUCAGUGGUGCAGACCCUGGCCCACAACUCCACAGCCACCCUGUCUGUCAUCCGGGACUACCUGGUCCAAAAACUGCAGAAACAGAGCCAGCAGAUUGCACAGGAUGAGCUCCAGGUCCGGCGGUACCGAGAGGAGACCACCCGCAUCCGCCAGGAGAUCCAGGAGCUCAAGGCGAGUCCGAAGAUUUUCCAGAAGACCAAGUGCAGCAUCUGUAACAGUGCCUUGGAGUUGCCCUCAGUCCACUUUCUCUGCGGCCACUCCUUCCACCAGCACUGCUUUGAGAGCUACUCAGAAAGUGAUGCUGACUGCCCCACCUGCCUCCCCGAAAACCGGAAGGUCAUGGAUAUGAUCCGGGCCCAGGAACAGAAACGGGAUCUCCAUGAUCAGUUUCAGCACCAGCUCAAGUGCUCCAAUGACAGCUUCUCUGUAAUUGCUGACUACUUUGGCCGAGGUGUCUUCAACAAAUUGACUCUGCUGACCGACCCUCCCACUGCCAGGCUGACGGCAAGCCUGGAGACUGGGCUGCAGCGGGACCUGCUCAUGCACUCCAGGAGGGGCACUUAAGCUGCUUGUAGGAAGGGGUGUGAUAAUGGAGACAUAGCAGAGGGGACACAGUGGGACAGAGGCAGGACUCUUGCACAGGAGUCAGGGAGGCAUGCCCAGAACUCCACCCUGAUCUGAUUCCAUCGCCCUCAGGACUAAAUGGGGCUUUCUUUUCCUGCCUCCUCCUUUGGCCAGCCUACCAUUCUCCUGUUAACUUUUUGAGCAGUGUAGAUAAUUCCAGACAGUGGAGGAGGGCGCCUCAGGAACCUCUGAGUGUGGACAAUAGCUGCAUUAUUCUGUAUCCCAAGAGCACCAGGCUGUGCUUGGGUCCUUGCUCCCAGAGUCUAUAAAUAAAAGAACGUGAUUUGGGGGUUAAAGGAUUUA